UACGUAGGGACCAAGCGUUGUUCGGAUUUACUGGGCGUAAAGGGCGCGUAGGCGGCGUGACAAGUCACUUGUGAAAUCUCGGGGCUCAACCCCGAGCGGUCGUGAGAAACUGGCAGGCUAGAGUGCGGGAGAGGAGAGUGGAAUUCCUGGUGUAGCGGUGAAAUGCGCAGAUAUCAGGAAGAACACCCGUGGCGAAGGCGGCUCUCUGGAACGCAACUGACGCUGAGACGCGAAAGCGUGGGGAGCAAACAGG
rnacentral:rRNA from 1 species